GUGGUUCUCUCAGUUGAAGAGGCCCUUUCAGACUUCAGUUUUAGCCCAUUGCUAAGUUAUUAUGGGCCUAGCAGUUAAGUAAUCCGACAACUCAUCCAAGCUAGAAGCUACAAGCUCUUUUGGAAUUCAACUGCAGGAAAUGUGGGAAAAACAAAUAGCAGCUCUCUUCAGAUCAAACUUAGACCUCAUAAUUUGCUGGAAAUUUUUAAAACUUCAAGCCAUCCAUGGCAGCUUGAGAAGUCUCUGUUAGUAUGAUAGGGAAAAACAGCAGCUGCAUGCUCUCAUAUUUAUGAAAGGCAAACGGUACAGCCCCUUUUUG
rnacentral:misc_RNA from 1 species